AGUGCGCAGUCCAGUUUUUAUACGACGUCAUUGGUGGUAGCACUACAAAAUAGAGUCUAUUAGCGUUAGCAUCAGGCUGGCGGAGAAGGUGUACUGUAAUUUUCUUUGCUUUGUUUAGCUGAAAAUACUUGAAGCAUUUUUUGAGGAUUCGUCCCCCAUCCGACAAACAGCUGCUUGUUGUUCAUGAACUGUGAUCAAGAACCAGUGCGAGAAAACGGAGCAGUUAGCAACCAAACGGCGACAACUGCGGCUGUCUCGUAUCAGCAGAGCCGAUGCAGCAGCCAAGUCAUUCCCUGACGUCCGAAUUUGCUCCGAGCAUUUUGUUCUUGGGGCGGGGCCUCCUUACGUCUAUGCGGUUGAGGGCCAGAACGUCGUAGGGCACCACCAGUUUGACGGCGAACUCCACCAUGAGGCACGUGGUCCCGUUCUCCCGCACGGCGAAGAUGGCCCGGUCGGGAUUCUCCGACAGGCCCGACAGGUUUUCGCCUUCCUGCUCGCCCACCGACACCGACGGCAGCAGCAGCAGGGACGCACCUGCGGCAAAAACGGGAGGCUUUUCGCCAAAGACACACAUAGCAGUUUUAAGGCGAUAACCGCACACGCAUGUGCACACCUACACAUUAACUGGAUCAGCCCCCCCCCCCCAACAAAACCACAAAAACACACAUUGAGCAUAAAAGAACAAAGUGGCUCAUGGAGAUUAGAUUUAAUCUAACUGAAAAUAAAUUUAUCGUUUCCCCCCCCAAAAAAACUCAUUACGUGUCACAAAAAAAAUAUGUAUUUUUGUACAUAUAAGUAAGACACGCACAGACAGCAAUGUGGAGUCACGACAGCCACACACACACAAACCACCCGCACAGAAUCAGUACUCCCCCAAAUAUGGCACAGUCAGCCAAAAAAGCCAAAAAAAACAAACAAAAAUAAAAAAACAACAACAAAACAAACACUGAGGUUACAAAUCUUUGGCACUGGGGCCAUUUACGGCUCCUCGGGAUUAAAUGACGGUCAGUUUCAAAAUAUUCAAAUCUCAUCGAAAGUGUAUGCAAA